GACGAACGCGGCGGCGUGCUUAACACAUGCAAGUCGAACGAAGAGCGACGGAAGCUUACUUCUAUCAAUUUAGUGGCGAACGGGUGAGUAACGCGUAAUCAACCUGCCCUUCAGAGGGGGACAACAGUUGGAAACGACUGCUAAUACCGCAUACGAUCUAAUCUGGCAUCGAGGAUAGAUGAAAGGUGGCCUCUACAUGUAAGCUAUCACUGAAGGAGGGGAUUGCGUCUGAUUAGCUAGUGGAGGGGUAACGGCCCACCAAGGCGAUGAUCAGUAGCCGGUCUGAGAGGAUGAACGGCCACAUUGGGACUGAGACACGGCCCAGACUCCUACGGGAGGCAGCAGUGGGGAAUCUUCCGCAAUGGACGAAAGUCUGACGGAGCAACGCCGCGUGAGUGAUGACGGCCUUCGGGUUGUAAAGCUCUGUUAAUCGGGACGAAAGGCCUUCUUGCGAAUAGUUAGAAGGAUUGACGGACCGAAUAGAA
rnacentral:rRNA from 1 species